rnacentral:rRNA from 1 species
CUACGGGCUGCAGCAGUUAGGGAUAUUCGGCAAUGGGGGAAACCCUGACCGAGCAAUGCCGCGUGAAUGAAGAAGUAUUUCGAUAUGUAAAGUUCUGUUGUUAAGGAAGAAAGGUACGAAUAGGAAAUGAUUCGUAAUUGACGGUACUUAACCAGAAAGCCCCUGCAAACUACGUGCCAGCAGCAGCGGUAAUACGUAGGGGGCGAGCGUUAUCCGGAAUUAUUGGGCGUAAAGGGUGCGUAGGCGGCCUGUCAAGUCCGAGUUGAAAGCCCACGGCUUAACCGUGGAGGGUGCUCGGAAACUGAUAGGCUUGAAUCCAGAAGAGGCAAGUGGAAUUCUAUGUGGAGCGGUGGAAUGCGUAGAUAUAUGGAGGAACACCAGUGGCGAAGGCGGCUUGCUGGGCUGGUAUUGACGCUGAUGCACGAAAGCGUGGGGAGCAAACAGGAUUAGAUACCCCUGUAGUC